GGUAAAAUGGCUGAUAAAGGCGAUAAAUUGUAAAUUUAUUUAUGAUAGUUUCUUUUACU
rnacentral:tRNA from 1 species